CCCGGGCUGCCGCGGGCUCUCCGCGGGCUGCAGUGGCCUUACGCCAGGGUGCGGGACGCCAGCCCGGUUAGUCCCGAGUACCAGAACCCUUAUCCUGAAGAGUGAAAGACUGUGAUGAUAAGAUGCAGUGAAUCACCAGGGAACUCCAAGCUAGCCUUGAGUGGACUGACAGAUCCACACAGUGACAUGCAGCUACAUACAGAGAUACAGAUGGGUCUGCAGGACAGCGAGGUCAGUGCAGCCCUGCCUCUCAGCUCGUGCAGAGCCCUACAUUGCUGCGGUUGUGCUGUGUCCUCUUCUAUAGCAGGCUGACUUCCAGUUAUUCCUAGAGUCUCUCCACUGCUGCCUUAUUAGACAGUCCUCACAUCUUGUAACUUUAUGCAGCAUCUAAACACAAUGAUCUCUGCAGCUUUGCUAAGGCUUCCAAUAAGGUAAAUAAAGACCUGUCAUAUAGCAUUAUUUUUGUCUAUGGGAGAACUGAGAAACCUGAUGCUGUGCUGAGGCUGGGGUUCUGUUCCUGAAAAUGCAGCUUUCUGUCCAGAAACUCCAGAAAUCUGUGUCACUGCAUGCUGCAGUGAAGAUCUGUUUGUACAGAAAUUUUAAAGUCCCAUGUAAAGAAGCUGGCAGAGUCAUGCCAAAGGUUAAUGGAAAAAAAUGGAGAGGUUCCUCAUUUCAGAGUCAGUAUUCUGGUGUUCCAGGAGGCUUGAUGGCCAGCAUUAAAAAAGUGGUCCAAAAUUUUCCAAUUUGUUUGAAUUAUAGAAGUGGUCAACACUUUCAACUUUUUUUUAAAUGUCUUAACUUCUGUUUUGCAGUGUAUAUUUUAUUUGUCUAAGGCACAUUGCCUUUGAAAUGUCAUCUUAUUUAU